rnacentral:lncRNA from 1 species
UGCAAACGCAAUUUUGGUCCUUAUGCAAUAAUAAAGGGGGAAAUGGUUCUGGUUUAGACAAGAAAAAUGAAUGCGUUGAUGAAGCUUCUAAUUCUUGCUCCAUGUUGUUUCUUCUUCAUAGCUUUAAUAAAGUUACUUUAUGAUUACCUAUGGAUACCCCUCCGUAUUCAGCAUAUGCUGAAUUCAGAGGGGAUCAAAGGACCUCCUUACAGAUUCAUCCAUGGCAACAACAAGGAAGUUACCAAAAUGAAACAAAAAGCUUUAAGCAAAUCUGUGGGCUUGACAGAUGAUCUAUUUCCCAAAGUACAUCCACACAUUUACACCUGGACCAACAGAUAUGGUAAGAUCCAUGCUUGUUUUUGUCACUAUGAUUUAUAACUUGUAGUUCUAAGAAAAGGUAGACCUUUUUUCUUUUCAUGUUAUUAGGGAAGAAUUUUGUUCAUUGGAACGGUGCUCGACCUGAAUUGGUGAUUUCAGAGCCUGAAUUAGUCAAAGAGGUUCUGAAAAAUAGUGAACAAAUUUUUCAGAAAAAGAAACUUUCAGAUAUUGGUAGGAAGUUCUUGGGGAAUGGUCUUAUAUUCAUUGAGGGGGGAAAAUGGGCAAAGCAUCGGAAGCUGGCCAAUCACACUUUCCAUGGGGAAAGCCUAAAGGUAAGUCUUCCAAAUAUAUAAACUAGGUGUAAUUAAUUUACAAGAAUUAUACAUAGACUACAAUAUUUUGGUAAAAUUUUGUAUUGUUAGCUAAGGAUAAGUUUAUUAUGGACGUUGAAAAAGUGUAGUAAAAACCUACUUUUGAAAAAUUUAACACCGUUUACUACUUAAGAGGUCAAUUUUAAACUUGAUGUUGUAAAAUAAAAGAUUAAAUCAGAGAUUUAAAAAAAGAUUAAAAUCUAGUUUGAAAUAAGAUUUAGUUUGAAAAGGUGUUUAUUUGUCAAAUUUUUUAAUUUGAAAUCAUGAUUUUGUGUUGACAAUUAUAUAUGUCACUACUACUUACAUAUUGGAGGAUUGUUUGGGCAGAACAUGACUCCAGCAAUAAUUGCUAGUGUUGAAACAAUGCUAGAAAAGUGGAAAGGCCAAGAAGGCAAAGAGAUUGAAGUGUACCAAGAAUUUAGGUUAUUAACUUCAGAAGUGAUUUCCAGAACAGCAUUUGGUAGCAAUUACAUGGAAGGGGAGAAGAUAUUUGCCAUCUUGAGAAAGUUGACAGUAAUUAUGAGUCGAAAUCUUUCCAAGACUAGAAUUCCUUUGAUCAGGUAUCUUCCCUCUAAGCUUAAUUAAUCCCAACUUUUACCUUGAUUUCAACUAGCUUUUGAAUGCAACUUUUAGACUUUCACUCCCCAUGGAUUUGGUUUUCUCCUUAUAUAUAGCUGACCCUGGUUUGCUUUUGCAGCAAGUUGUGGAAAUCUGCUGAUUUGCUAGAGUCUGAAAAACUUUCAAAAGAAAUAAAAGAUCGUCUGAUGAAGAUUGUUAAGAAAAGAGAAGACAAAGCUGUGAAUGGAGAAGUCAAUAGCUUCGGCAGUGAUUUUCUUGGAUUACUUCUAAAUGCCUAUCAUGAUUCGGAUGCGAAAAACAGGAUUUCAUUGGAAGACGUGGUAGCUGAAUGCAAAACAUUCUAUUUUGCUGGACAAGAAACUGUUAAUUCCUUACUUGCAUGGAUAGUCUUGCAUUUGGCAAUCCAUGGAGAUUGGCAAGAAAAAGCGAGAAGAGAGGUGAUUGACAUAUUUGGUAACCAAAAUCCACAUCUCGAAGGCAUUGCGAAACUCAAAAUAGUAAGAAAACUAUCUAACUGGGAAUUCAAAUAGCCAUCAACAUUAUGCAAUCUAACAUAUUUGUCUAUUUCCUAAACAGAUGACCAUGAUCAUCAAUGAAACUCUAAGAAUGUAUGGUCCGCCAAAUGGCUUGGCAAGAACAGUUGCAAGAGAAGUACAAUUGGGAAAGUUAGUCUUGCCUGCUAAAUUAGAUAUUCUGCCUCUAAAUAUUGGACUUCACCGUGACCCUCAAUUGUGGGGAGAUGAUGUGCAUCAUUUUAAACCCGAGAGAUUCGCUGAAGGGAUUGCCAAAGCUACCAAUUACACUGCGGCUGCAUUUAUUCCCUUCGGAUUGGGACCUCGAUCUUGUGUUGGUAUGACAUUUGCAUCAAUAGAAACAAAGGUUGCUCUCUCCAUGAUUCUACAACAUUACACCAUUACCCUCUCCCCUGCCUAUGUCCACUCUCCAAUACCUAUUCUCACCCUUCUACCACAACAUGGAAUUCAGGUAAUACUUGAGCCGAUACAUAGUAAUGCUUGAAGUACAUAGCUGUUAAGAAAUAAAGGUUUAACAUGGUUCAUGUAUUUUAGUUUUAAAAGGUGACAUUUAAUAUGUAUAAGGUUCUAGCAUUUGCAACCCCUUCCCUAUCCUAUAGUAUGCCCACCUUCAUACAUAAUGAAAUGCAAGUAGCUACUUAUUUCCAAGAUGGUAAAACACACAAUCAAUAAAGAAGAAUAUGUCGAGGCAAGUUUUGGGAACAGUGACUCAAGAAAUGACAACUGAAUUUGACACGUACAGAUCACAUAACUUCUCUUUUUUGUUAGCAUAUGUUGGUGAUUAGAACUCGAACUUUGAUGAUUGAUCGAGAGAUUUGAAGCAAAAAGAAGAGAAAGGAAGUUUUAAGAUAGAAAGUAAUUGAAGACUGAAAUAAUAAUGGAUUUGCUCCUCAAUGACUUAAAUACAAAAGUUGAAGACUAAAAAUAGAAAAAAAAAGGUUCUAAAAAUCUGCUAAGAAUCUGGUAACAAUAAACCAAACAAAUCGUAAAACUAAGCUCCUAAAGUAAAGGAGAAUUAUUCAAACUUAGCAACAAAAAAUUAAAUGGCAGCAAUUUUAAACAUGUGAUCUCAACACUUUCUUUAUUUAGAUGCUGCAAACUCCAAGUUUCUUCCUGAAGCUUUCAAACUUGCUAAGUGGCAAUGGUUUGGUGAAGAUAUCUGCAAUUUGAUCUUCAGAUUUGCAGUAACAAAGAGACACAUCACCACUCUUUUGAACUUCUCGAACAAAAAAUAACUUGAUGUUGAAAUGCUUAGUCUUCCCAUGAAAGACUGGAUUGUUAGAGAUUGCAAUGGCAGCUUGGUUAUCAACUAGAAUCUCUGUGCUUUGCUUCUGCUCCAUGUUUAGAUCAACAAGAAUCUUCCUUAACUAGAGAGUUUGGUUAACUGAUGCUGUUGCAGCCACAAAUUCUGCCUCAGCAGUGGAUUGAGCUACAAUUUCUUGCUUCUUCAAGCUCCAAGAGAACAUGCCUGAUCCAAGGCAAAAACAAUAACCAGAGUUACUCUUCAUAUCAUCAGUUGAGCCACCCUAAUCAUUGUCAGAGAAACCAAUUAACUUUAAUUCCCUGUGCUUUAAAAACUUCACUCCAUAACUCCAGGUCCCCUUGAUGUAUCUGAUAACUCUUUUUGCAGCUUUCAUGUGAGUCUCAUUAGGACAAUGCAUGAAUCUAGAGAGAAUACUUACAACAUUCAAGAUGUCGGGUCUGGUUGCUGUUAAGUACAUUAGACAACCUACCAAACUCCUAAACUCAGCUUCAAUGACUUUGGCAGAACCAUCAUCUUUGAUUAGCUUCUCUUUUUUAUUCAUAGGAGUGCUCAUUGCUUUUCAAUAUUCCAUAAGAAAUUUUUUAAGUAUCUCCUUUGCAUAGUUUCUUUGACAGAUGAACACUUCAUCUUGGCAUUGUUUGAUCUCAAUGUCAAGGAAAUAAGACAUCAGACCAAGAUCUGUCAUUUCGAAGACCUUUUUCAUUUCCAAUUUGAACUGAUUAACUUGAUCGAGAUUGCUGCCUGUAAUCAAUAAGUCAUCUACAUAAAGAGAAAUGACUAAAGUGUUUGUACCUUCAUGCUUUACAUAUAGUGUGAGCUCAGAUUGACUUUUCUGAAAGCCAAUGCCCACCAAAUGAUCAUCAAUUCUGCUAUACCAUGCUCGUGGAGCCUGUUUUAGGCCAUACAGAGCCUCUUCAGCAAGUAAACUUUGUCUUCAUUGCCUCUGUUUACAAAACCUUCAGGUUGCUCGACAAAGAUUUCUUCUUGCAAGACUCCAUUUAGGAAUGCAGAUUUAACAUCUAACUGAAAAACUUUCCAGUUCUUUUGUCCAGCAAGAGCAAGCAGUAACCUUACAGUGUCAAGCCUGGCAACAGGUGCAAAUGUUUCUGAAUAAUCGACUCCAAAGACUUGUGCAUAUCCCUUCACAACAAGUCUUGCUUUGAAUUUGUUAACUGAACCAUUGGGAUUUAGUUUCGUUCUGAACACCCAUCUUACUCCAAUUAUCUUUUUGUCCAAAGGUUGAUCAACCAGCUCCCAAGUUUUGUUUUUCUCAAUCAUCGAAAGCUCCUCUUCAUUGCAACCAUCCAAUGUUGACUGUUUUUUGCAUCAUGAUACCCUGCAGGCUCACAAAUAGCUACGUUACAUCUUUGGUAAAUGUCGGAAAGCAGCCUUGUACCUCUGACAGGUGUAUCAUCAGCCAAAACAUCUUGCCCUUCAUCUUCAAGCUCCUCUAAUGUGCUGCCAAUGGUAAAAUGAUCUGGUGCACUAGAAGCUUGGUUCGUCUUGGUCGAGUCUUCCCAAUUCCAUUGCUCAUUUUCAACAAAAUAAACAUCUCUGCUCACAAUAACAUGUCCAGUGUGUGGUUGAAAUACUCUGUAAGAUUUAGAUACAGUGCUAUACCCAACAAAAAUGCCAGCUUCUGCCUUUUUGUCAAGCUUAUCACGCUUGACCUGUGGAAUGUAAGUGAAACACAGGCAACCAAACACUCUAAGGAACUUUAAAUAAGGUUUGUAACCCUACCAAGCUUCAAAUGGCAUCUAAUCCUUCACAGCUUUUGUUGAAAUCUGAUUUUGCAAGAACACAGCAGUGUUUGCAGCUUCUUCCUAAAAGCCUUUUGGAAGAUUCUUCUCAUAAAGCAUACACCGAGUCAUCUUCAUUAUGAAUCUGUUCCUCCUUUCACUGACUCCAUUUUGUUAUGGAGUGUAUGGCACCGUCAACUGAUGCUCAAUUCCAGCCUCUUCACAAAACCUAUUAAAAGUUUCUGAAGCGUACCCCUUGCCAUUAUCAGAUCUUAAAAUCUAAAUCAUGCAUCCACUUUCAUUCUCAACUUUGGUUUUGAAUUUCCAGAACACACCAGCAACUUCUGAUUUUUAUUUCAAUAAGAAAAUCCAACACAUUCUUGUUAGAUCAUCAAUAAAGGCUAUGUAAUAGAGGUUACCGUUUAACGAUGGCAUUCUCUGAAGACCACAAAGAUCGGUAUGAACAAGCUAUUCGAGGCUCUCCAGGCUUGUUUAGGAAAGGGUUGUCUAUGUUGUUUCCCAAAUUUGCAAGAUCGACAAUGAGGUAGAUCAUCAUCAAUGUCUAUAAGUCCUUCUACCAGCUUCUUUGACUGCAUUUGAAGCAAUCCUCGAUGGUGAAAGUGCCCAAGUCUCUUGUGCCAAGUCUCAGUGGCACUAACUCUGGAUUUAAAAGCCAUUUGCUCCUUUUCCAUUGGAUUAAGAUAAAAAAAUUUUCCCUUCAUUUUGACAUUAAACAAGUCUCUGCCAUUAGCAUCUCUGAUCAAGCAUUGCUUAUUCUCAAAUAGCACUUUAUAGCCUUUAUCCAGUAACUGACCAACACUGAGGAGAUUUUGAUCAAUUUAGGUGCAAACAAAACAUCUGAAAUGAAUUUUGUACCUUUAUAGCUUGUAAUAGCUAUGCGCCUUUUCCCUUGACUUCCAAGUACUCAUCAUUUUCAAUCCUCACUAUUUUGACUUCAGUGUUUCUCAAUUCCUCGAAGAGCUCCUUGUCAUACGUCAUGUGAUUUGUGCACCCACUAUCAAUCAACCAUCUCUCACUUGAUUCUCUGCCUGAGAAACAAGUAACCACAAACAAUCGAUCUUCUUCUUCUUGAUCAGCUACCUGUGCAUCUACUUCUUGCACCUGGCCUUUGACCUUGCAAACCACUGUUUUAUGUCCAAGUUGAUUGCAUUUGGAGCAUUUAACGUCAGGUCUUUUCCAACAUUUGAAUGGUAAAUGACCUUUCUUCUCACAAUGGUAAUAAGGUGGGUAGGAUUUCUUGACACCUCCUCUUUUGCUCUUCUGAUAAUUGCCUGAUGAAUUUUCUCUACUCGUCGACUGGUUCCUAAAAUUUUUCUUCUUUUUAUACCUGUUGUUGUCUUGAUGCUUGACAAGUAAGGCACCUUCUAUCACUCCCUCUUGCCUCAUUAGUCUUCUUUGCCCUUGUGCUUGUAAAGCAUUCAAGAGCUCUGCAAGAGAGAUCUUUGACAGGUCCUUGGUGUUCUCCAGAGUAGUAAUGGUGGCUUCAAGCUUCUCUGGAACAGUAACCAGCAGCUUUUCUACGAUUCUAGAGUCAUUCAACUCAGAACCAAGCAAUCUCACCUUGUUGGCAAUGCUGAAAAGUCUGUCAGAAUAUUCUUUCACUGACUCAGACUCCUUCAUCUUCUGCAACUCAAAAUCCCUGAUUAGAUUUAGGACUUUCAUUCCACAAAUCCUCUCAUCUCUUGCAUACUCAGCCUUUAAGUAAUCCCAGAUUUCCUUUGCUGAUUUCAGAGACAUUAUUCGUGUGAAAAUCAUUUGAGACUCAGCUGCAAAUAAGCAAGCUUUUGCCUUUGAUUUCCUUGUCUUCUUUUCCUUUUAUGCUUUAAUCUGUGCCACAGUAGGAUUUGCUGAAAGUGGUGGGACCUCGUAAUCCGCUUCUACAGCUUCCCAAAGAUCCAAAGCCUCCAAGCAAGUCUCCUUACGAACUGCCUACAUCUGGAAAUUGUCUCCAUUGAAGACUGGUAGUGCAGCAACUGAAAAACUAGACUCUCCUUCCAUCUUAACACGCAAAUAACCUCAUAGAUCCCUUAAGAAAAUAGCUCCGAUACUAAUUUGUUGGUGAUUAGAACUCGAACUUUGAUGAUUGAUUGAGAGAUUUGAACUAGAAAGAAGAGAAAAGGAAGUUUUAAGAUAGAAAGUAAAUGAAGACUGGAAUGGUAAUUGAUUUGCACCUCAACGAUUUAAAUAAAAAAUUCAAGACUAAAAAUAGAAAAAAAAGGUUCUAAAAAUCUGCUAAGAAUCUGGUAACAAUAUACCAAACAAAUCGUAAAACUAAGCUCCUAAAGUAAAGGAGAAUUAUUCAAACUUAGCAACAGAAAACUAAAUGGCAGUAAUCUUAAACAUGUGAUCUCAACAGCAUGUUUGAAAAAAAAAAUAUUUUGAUUACUUACUUGCAUAUUUUUGAGGAUUUUGUGCAUCCAAUCUUGUGUUUAUUAUUUGAUUAAUCUCAGAUUGAUUUUUCUUAAACUAGUGGUUAUACUAAGGCUUGUUAGCGGAUUAAACUUUGGGCAAAGCAAUAUAGAUGUAGAUCUGUUUUCCGUGACGGGAUUUGAAUCUACUAAAAAAAAUUCCUACGCUUGAAACCAAAAUUAAAUUUUAGUAUAUAGAAUAGGGUCGAUCCCACAAAGGUUAAUCUAUCUAAAUCUAUAUUUCUUUAUAACUAGAACAUGUCCCAAGCAGUUUUUAUGCCCAUGACUUGUGCCAACUUGUACGAAAAACAAAAGGGAAUUAAAUCUGAAAAAUGAAUAAACAAAAAAUAUAAAUUAAUAAUGAAAAUGAAGUAGAAAUAAGUAAAACGAAAUUAAAAUUGAAUAAACCGAUAAAACAAAAGCUCUAGCUUCAAGCUUGAAGCUCGAUUUUGACUCUGUCUUCAAACUAAUCACAAAGAAUGAAUUUUUUCCUUCAUUAAUAAGUCAAUUGUAGAUACCAAGAAACAAGCUCAAACCACCUAAUUCUUUCAUAGUGGUAAAUUAAUUGCUGGAACAGCUCGACGACUAAGCCUUAUAAAGUGAAUAACCUUGAAAGCAGCAUUCGUGAUUUAAUUCAUUAGUAGCCUUGCGAACUAGAAGAACCUGGCUUAAAUCAACGACCUCAAUUGUAUGAGUCAUUUAAAAUUAAUUAUUAACUUCCUUGAUGGAUCCAACCACUCAUGUCAAUUUGUUCUUCAAUGGAUCUAAUACAACAAUUACAAUCACAUUGAUUCUCUAACUGUAUGUCCUUCAACACUAAACCAAGGGACUCUUCUUGAUUUUGAUGCUAAAAUAACAUUGAGAAGUAAUUGAGUUUAUCUUUUAAUUGGAGAAUUAACAAAUACCGAAAUGGAGAAUAUAAACACGAUUUUGAAAUUUCACCGUUCAAAUAUCGGAUCAAUUAUCAAUCUAAAACUAGGUUAAAUUUAACUUCUCAUAAAUUAAAAAACAAGAAAAGAAAAUCGUUGAAGGAGAAUAUUUAAUUGAAAUAAAAAACACUAAAAUAAAAUCAAAACAAUAGUUAAAUGAUAAGGUUGCUUUGAAACUGGAGUUGCCAUUUUCGUUGGAGGAGAUAAAAAAGGCAGUGUGGAGUUGCGAUGAGUCGAAAGCAUCUGGGUCGGAUGGCUUAAAUAUGUGCUUUUUUUAGAAAAUGUUGGGAUGUUGUAAAAAAUGAACUUUUUAGAAUGAUACUAGACUUUUUUAGAUCUAGAAAGCUUGAGAGGAGCAUCAAUUCUUCAUUUAUUACACUCAUAUCCAAAACCAAAAAUCCAAAUAAAAUAUCAGAAUUUAGACCAAUUUUUUUGGAGAGCUCGUUGUACAAGAUAGUGGCAAAGGUGUUAUCUCGAAGAAUUAGGGAGGUUGUUGGAGAGGUAGUGAGAGAAACACAAUGUGCAUUUAUCAGAGGUAGACAAAUAUUCGAUGAAAUUUUAAUUCUAAAUGAAAUUAUCCAUUCGAUUAAAAAGAAAAAUGGUAUGGGGGCAAUCUGAUUUUUAAACUGGAUUUUUCUAAAACAUAUUAUUGUGUUUGUUGGGAUUUUUUUGAGUUAGUUUUACUCAAGAUGAGAUUUGGCCAGAAAUGGAUAGGAUGGAUUAUGGAGUGUGUAUCUAUGGUGAGAGUAGCAAUAAUUAUCAACGGGUCAACCACAAAUUAAUUUAGAUUCCGCCGAGGUCUCCGUUAAGGACAUCUGUUAUCUUUAUUUUUAUUUAUCCUAGUGACGAAAGUGCUAUAUUUGUCGAAGGAUAAAGUAGUGGAGAUGGGGCUAAUUUAGGGCAUUCAAGAUGUUAUUCCCGUGCAGAUUUUUUCUCAUUUACAAUUCGUGGACGAUACUAUACUAUUCUUGAGAGGAGAUGAAGAAGACGUGAGAAAUGAUAAGUAUAUUUUACGGUGUUUUAAGAUCUUUUCAAGUCUUAGUAUCAAUUUCAAAAAAUCAUGUUUAGUAGGAUUUGAUGAGAAUGAAGAACUCUUAUAUCAAAUGGCUACAAUAUGUUAGUGUAAGAUAAGAUUUUUGCCUUUUAAUUAUCUAGGGAUUCCAUUGGGAGCAAAUCUGAGGAGAGUAUCCACUUGGGAUGCAAUUGUAGAGAGAUUCAGGAAGAAAUUAUCGGGAUGGAAAUGCCAUAUGCUCUCGUGGGCUGCAAGGAUUGUGUUGAUUAAUGUUGUUUUAUCUACCUUGUUGAUUUAUUUCAUGUGUAUAUUCCAAGCUCCAGUGACAGUUAUUAAAAGGACCGACAAGAUAAGGAGAAAUUUUCUUUGGGGGGGAGUAUAAAUGGUAAAAGGAAGAUGGCGAAGGCAAGCAGGAAACAUAUAUGUAAGCCAAAGGAGAAGGGAGGAGCGGGAGUGGUGAAUCUCAUAAUUAAAAAUAGAGCUUUAUUAGAAAAAUGGAGUUGGAGAUUCGCGGUUGAAAAAGAUGCAUUGUGGCAAAAACUCAUCCUAGCAAAGUAUGGUUCGCGCCCGCAACAAUGGCACUUUAGGACGACUAAUCUAAAAGUUAUGUCGAUUGUAUGGAGAGGUAUUGUAGAAAAUUCUAAAGACGCUAAUGGUUCUAAAUGGGUGGGGAACGAAGCUUUUAGAUGGAUGGUUGGGAAUGAAAGGAUGGCGGUGUUUUGGGAGGAUAUUUGGUCCUGUAGUCAACCACUAAAAAUGGAAUUUCCUAGAGUGUUCCGCUUAGCAAGACGAAAGAAAGGUAUGGUAGCAGAUUGCUCGAGCAACAAUGGUUUCACCACCAAGAGUGUGAAGUUUUCUAUGGAUGCUUGCUAUUGAUAGAAUUCCUACAAAGGAAUUUCUCGUUAAAAGAGUAGUGUAGCUUCAACACAUUUCGAUCGAAUGUCCAUAGUGUGAAAGAGUACCAGAGAGAGCAUAUUAUCUAUUCUUCAAAUGGAAAUAUAUUGAAAGGUUCUGGUAUAAAUUUUUCAAAUGGUGGGAGGUUGAAUGGAAUUCGAUAGAAGGAUUUGCUGAUUUUUAUUCUUUGUGUUAUAACGUGAAACUGUUAGGAGCCCGAAAAAGUUUAUGGUUGUUAUCGAUUUCGAUAGCUUGCUAGUCAGUGUGAAUAGCAAGAAAUGAAAUUGUCUUCGAAAGAAAGGUGACGACUAUGGAAGCUUUGAUAUUUCAAUCCAAGAUGAGGGCAAAGUUGUGGAUAAGGUUUGUAUAUAUAUGAUGAGUAAAUGGUGCAAGAGAGCUCUUGGUGGAUUUGUCCGAACAAGUGCAAAUUUGAUACAAUUAAACCAAAUCCUCUUCGUCGAUAUGACGCCCUCCUCCACAAGGCUAUCCAAGUUUCAAUGUAUGUGGGAUAGAAAAUGAGGAAGUUACAGGUUGUGGUGGAGUACUAAGAGAUAUAGAGGGUGUUGCAAGAGCUUUAUUUUCGGGUCCUAUUGUAGCUAAUGACACAAAUUCAACAGAGGUAGGGGUAGUGUUUAUAGCAUUGGAUUUGUUCUUAUCCAUGGGAUGGAAGAUUAAUAGCUCUCUUAUUGUAGAAAUUUGUUCAAAAAUGGUGUACAAUUGGUGUCUGAACAAGGAUAUGAGACCGUGGUUGUUACAAACAACAUUUUCAGUUAUUGAGAGGAAAAUUGAGCAGGUUGGUAGUGUAGUAUUCUCGAUGGCAGAUCAAAAACGUAAUGAAAUGGCUUCAACCUUGGCAAUAGCAGGUAUUAAUCGUGGUGACAUGUUCAAAGCUUGUUAGUGAGUAUUAGCUUUGAUGUUGAAUAUUAGUUUUCGAUUGUAGGAAAUGUUUCAUUGUGGUAUUUUGUAACUUGUUUCUUUUAAGUGUUGUUCUUGUUGUAUUUACAACAGAUUAGUUUGAAUGAAGCAAAAAAAAAAAAUUUUGGUGGGUACCGUGUGCCCCCUCUCUUCACGCCUUACUAUAUAAUAAUAAUAAUAAUAAUAAUAAUAAUAAUAAUAGACAAGCUUAAGAAUAUAAGAAGCCUUUACUCAUUCCCUAAGAUAAAAUUUAAUCCUCAUUAAUAUCUUAAAGAGAAACAUUUUUCCAUAAAAAUAAAAAUAAAAAAUAAAAUAAUCCUAAAUUUUAAAUGUCUUAUAUGUCAACUUCUCAAUCCAACUAUAAAUUUACUUUUUUAUAUUGUACUCUAACACUUCGAACAUGUGCUAUAUUUAUAUAGAAAAUAGUCAACAAAGUACCAAAGUAGUAGCAUCCAUGUCCAAAAUUAAUCAGAAUAAAUCAUUAAAAAAUAUCUAUUAAGAACAUUAUCACCCCCCUUAAUCAAUACUUGCCCUUAAACAUUUCAUGCAUUCAUCAUCUAAACAUAUCACAAUCAUCCAAGCCAUUUCUUGCAUUCAUCAUCUAAACAUAUCACAAUCACCCAAGCCAAUUCAACUUUCACAGUCCUCAGUUCAAUAAAAAAAUAAGCAUUAUCAAAAUUUUGACCGUACAACCGUCUCCCUCAAGCAAGCACAUAGAUUAACAAUUUAUGAUAAGUGCUAAAAGUAACAUAUUUUAACCUCGUUUUGUAACAUCUUGGAAUUUGGGGUUAGAAGUUUUGAGGUUUGUAGUGAGGGUCAGCAAGUAGGUUGAACAAUUGGGUUUAUUUUCGCGUUUUAACAUCAAAAUGAGUUUACUAAUUUGGUGGUAGAGUAUGUUACUAGUUUGCCUUGGUCUAGUGUUUGAAUCCCGAUGUGAGAAUAAAGGAAGUUUUAUUUUAAAUUUGUUUCUUUUUGUGUUAACUUAUUUUUAUUUAGAUUUUUUAUUUGAAAAAAAUAGAAGAAAAUCCCAAAAAUUUCUCACGUUUUCCACUUUCUCUUCACAUCAGUCUUUCUCCUUCUUCCAGUAAAUAAAAAUUAUAGAUUUUGAUUUUCUUUCUUUUUUUAUUGGGUUUCAAUACUUUUGUAAACCGCUGCCUUCAAAUACUAGUGGUGCUUUUGUUCUUCGUUUGAUCAGACGUCGAAUCGGGUGAGUGUAGGGAUCAUUUUGUAUUUAGGUUUAUGCGAUUAAUUCUUGGUAAUUUGAUAUAAGGUUUAGGUCGGAAAUUUUUGUAGCUUUAGUAUGUUUGCGGAACUGAGUUUCAGGUUGUUACAGUAAAGGCCAAGUGGUCGAUUCUUGGUGCUCUAAAACAUCAUUCAGGUGUGUGUUUUGAAACUGUUUAAUUUCAGUAUUGAAUUACUGUUGGAUUUUAUGGAAUUCAGCAGUUUCUAGUGUGUUUCUAAAAUUGUGUGAAUUCAGUAAUGAAUUGCUGCUGGAUUUUGGGAAAAUCUACAAAAUUCUUAUGUGUCUUGAAUGGUUUGUGAUUAGGGUUCAUUUUGCUAUUGCAAAAUUGCGAUUUCAACUUGUUUCAAUGUGGUUUCAUGACCAUACUGGUGGGCACACGAGUGUGUGCAGCACACAGGUGUGUGUAGCACAUGGGUAGUCCACACAGUCAUGUAACAUUGGGAAUUAGGGAUUUUGGAUGUUUUUUAGUGCCACACGGUCGUGUGGUGGCUAUUUGGGGAUUUUUUUCAUUUUUCACAUGGACAUGUGCCUUCGACACACGGUCGUGUCCCUUAGCCACACGGGUAUGUGAGAUUCCCACACAAGCGUGUCUACUAUGCUCCUUAUUUUGACACUUUUGGACAAUGAGUUACGCGGAUUAUCAACACGGCCAUGUAACUCGGUCACACUGAUGUGUCUCCUCCAUACGAGCUUGUGUAGCUUGCACAUGGGCGUGUAAACCACCACAUGGCCUAGUAGACCUCCACACGACCUAGUCACUCCCACACGGACGUGUGGCUCUGUUUUGGAAAUUUUUGUUUUGUGUUAAAAUUUGGCUCGUUUUGUGUUUCUGUAUGUUUCGACCCUCAGUUAAGCCUUGGUAACUGUAUUGAGGACUCCGCUAUGAUAUGGAUUUAAAUGUGUAUGUGUGUGUUCAGUUUAGGUAAUUGGGAAAUGUAUUAAUGUGUAUGUGUAUGUGUAUGUGUGUUUUGCAAAUUUUUGUUCUGUGACAAUUGGUAUUGGACUAAGUUUUAAAGCUACUAGUUGAGAUGAAAAAAGGAGUAAAAGAGCAGAUUGAACCCAGAGAGACCCAUGAGAGGGGCAGAAAAGAUAGUAGAUCGAGGGAUAUGCUGUCGACUUUGAAAGGUCAAGUGACUAAUCUCGAGGAAUCCAUAAUUUGAGUUCUUGAACUCAAAAUAAGAGAAUUUAACGUGCAUUUUGAAAUUAAGAAAUCGAUAUUUUAUUAGUCAGAAAAAAUUUUAACCCAAAAAUACUUAAACCCUAUCUAAAAUUAUAUUAUAAAUAAACUAAUUUUUCAAAUUUAAAAACUGAGUAGUUCAAUAAACUUGAAUUAAUAAAUUUUCCCUAUUUGUACAUUUAUGACCACACAUGAUAAUGGGUAAGAUAAGGUCCUAACGGACUUUGUUUAAUAUAUAAAGGUAAGUGAUAAUUGUAGCAAUUCUUGCUACUGGAGCAUAGGUAUCAAUGUAAUCAAUACCUUGUUUUUGUGUAAAACCUUUGGCUACCAACCUUGCUUUAAAUUUAUCAAUGGUUCCAUCGACCUUCAUUUUCUUUUUGAAGAUCCAUUUACAACCUAUUAGUUUGGAACCUGGUGGAAGAUCAACUAAGAUCCAUGUUUGAUUUCCCAUUAUUGAAUCCAUCUCAUCAUUUAUUGCUUCCUUCUAAAAAGUAGAGUCUUGAGAUUUCAUUGCCUCUUCAAAUAUAAUAGGAUCAGAUUUCGUAUUAUAAAAAUAAGGUAUCUUAUUGCAUAUACAUUCACCUUUACCUUCUACAAGAAACAUAAUGAAAUCUGGUCCAAAAAUUUUUGACCUUUUAAUCCUCUUACUUCUUCUUAAUUCUUGAGAAGAUUCAUCAUCAUUAUCAAUUUGUUCCAAUGGGAUCUUUUUCUCAUUUGAACAAUGAAUCAAUUGUUGUGGCUGUAAUUGUAACAACUCGGUUUUAGUUAAAUUAGAACAAUGGUUUUGAAACCACAAAUCUGAGGUCAAAAAUUCAUUUUAAUAUUAUUUUUGGUAUUUACAGCAUGUGAUUAUAUAUGUGUAAAAGUUUCGUCAAGAAAUUUUACUGUUUGAAUGCUUAAUUCGGCAAAAGGACUAAAUUGCGUAAAAUGUAAAAGUUGUGUUCUAUAAGCUAAAGGUGUCUAAGAGCUAUAGAACAUUAAAGUAAAGGUCCUUAAGUGGUAAAUAGGAUAUUUAUGAGUUAGUGUAUGAUAGUGGAGUGACAUUUGGUAUAAUUACUAAUGUUUUUAAUGGUAAAAUGGUAAAUAAGUAAAUUAAUGAUAAAAAAAAAAAUUUAAAGCCACCAUCUUUAUUCAUCUUCCCCAACCGAAAUUUACAGCAAUAAGGAAGGCUUUGGGAGCUUGAAACUUUUGGUUAAUAAAUCUCUUGUGUGUAAGUGAUUUUUAAGCCCGUUUUUGAUAAUUUUUAUGUUUUUGAGAUUGUUGCUUCAUGUUCUAGCUAGCCCAUGCCCUAAUUUUUGAAUUGGUUUGAUGAAUUUGUGAGUUACCAUUGAUGAUAGAUUGAUGUUUUUGAAUGUUGAUGAUGGAAAAUGAAUAAUUGUUGAUAGAUAAAUAUGUUUUGUAAAGUGAUUUUUGGCAAAAAUGUCAAAUGGAGAUAAAUUGUGAAAUAUGCCAGUUGAGUGGUUCAAAUGUGAAAUAAAUAAAAGUUUUGGUCUGCUAGGGGCACUAUAGUAAUUCGGCUAAGCUUGGGUUAUAUUGAAUUGUGUAAAUUUUGUAUAUUUGUCAAAUAGGUACUAAAUUGAAUAAAUGUGAAACUUUAGGGGCUAAAGUGCAAAAAUUUUCAAAUAGGUAUUUUUGGAUGAAAUUGAAUGAAUAGGUGAUUAAAUGAGUUAAAUUUGAAUUCACGUAAAUCAACAAAGAAAGAAAUCAGAUUUAGAUCGGGGGAAAUCGAAAGUUGACGAGUAGUUGAUCCGAUCCGUUCGUUUCUGUAUGAGGUAAGUUCAUAAGUAAAUAAAUAUUUUUGAAUUCAAAUAUAUAUGUUUUGUAUAUUGCCGAAUUGAUUUAUAUGUAUAUAUAUACAUUGUCGAAUUGAUUUGUCUAUGUAUAUAUAUAUUGCCGAAUUGAUUUGAGCAUUGGAUGACUGGUUUCGUGCAUGUAUUGAUUUAAUUACGAAGUCGAAAGCUCCGAAUGAAUCUUAGGAAAUGUAUAGGAUGAUGAUUUCAUGAUAUUAGGACUUCCGAGGUGUGAUUUCGUGUAAGACCAUGUUUGAGACAUUGGCAUCGAAGUGAGAAAAUCUAUAAGACCAUAUCUGGGAUAUGGCAUCGGCAUUGAUUUAAGAUCCCGUAUAAGACCAUAUCUGGGAUAUGACAUCGACAUCGAUUCGAGAUCCCAUAUAAGACCAUAUCUGGGAGAUGGCACUGGCAUUGAUUUGAGAUUUCGUAUAAGACCAUAUCUGGGAUAUAGCAUCGUUAUGAGACUUCGUGUAAUACCAUAGCUGGGAUAUUGGCAUCGAUAUGAGAUUUCCAUGUAAGACCAUGUCUGGGACAUGGCAUUUGUACGAUACAUUAUGUACGAGUUUUCCCGAGUAUCCUUAGUAUUCCAAGUGGUUCAACAGGUAAUCCAAAGAUUAUGUCAAAGAAAAGACAAGGUAUGAUCAUAUUGAAUGGAUACAGGUAUGUACGAAAAAUUCAUGAGUAAUGAACUCAAUGUAUUUUGGACAUUUGAUAAGAAUGUAAAUGAGUAAGUCAUACUUGUAAGAAUGAUAUUGUGAUGACCUUGUGAUUAUAGGUCUAUACUUAUGAGGUAUAGAUUUGUGGUAAAUUUGAUUGAUGAUUGUGCGAGGCUUUUAGGCCAAAUUAAAUUGAGACAUGAUAUGUUUAAGUCUUUGUUGUUGAUGUAUAGGUGAAAUUGGCCAAUGAUUGGCAUGUAAAUAUAUGAUAAUGAUUAGCUAUUGGAAUGGCUAGUUAUGGAUAUGUUUUGGUGUUAUGUGUGUCUAAAUAAAUGUUAAUACAAAGAAAUCAUGAAAGAGUAAAAUUUGCAAUAAAAUAGUUUUGGACAACAGCUGUUGUAUAAAUUUGAAAAAUCACCAAAAAUUGUAGGAAUUGCAUUAGAGGUUGAAUAAGACAUUAAAAUGAAUAUUAUUGAGUCUAGUUUCACAUAGAAGAAACGGUGUAAGCAAAAAAAUAUGAUAUUAUGAGAUAUUUGAAUUUUUGUGAGAUAAGGUUAGAAUGAUUUCGGAAUCCCCAAUUCUGAUUUUGGAAAAUUAUUAAACAUUGUAUAAAAACAAUUAUGGGUUAUAAUUUAUAUGAUUAAAAUUCUUAAUGAGUCUAUUUUCAAUAGAAACAAACGGGAAUAUCAUUCUUAAUUUUGAAAAUUUUAUGGUAAGAAGAUAUGUGAGUCUAGUUUUGGUAAAAUCAAGUGGAUCUUAAUUUGGAGUUCUGUAGCGCAAGAUAUAAAUAAUUUAGGUAAAAUCAAGUGGAUCUUAAUUUAAAGUUCUGUAGCACAAGAUAUAAAUAAUUUAGUGACUAUCACUUGAGUAGACAGCUUGAUGUAAACAUGAGUAAAUAGUGCAACUCUGUGCAAUUUUGAUUGUAUUACCUUGAGAUAUGUUGUGAGGAUUGGUAAAAGCAUGCUAACAGAUUUCUUAUUGUUUACUUACCAACUUACUAAGCUAUAUAGCUUACCCCCUUUCUUUCUUUUUCCUAUAGUGUCACAGAUACUAGCUCGGGUUGGAGAUCGUCGAAGAUUCUAUCACACUAUCAAGCUAUUGAUCGAUAUCAACAUAUUCAAACAUUUUAAGUUUAUGGCAUGUAUAGGGACUCAGUCAUUUUGUGUAUGAGUUAUUAUGUUUUGGCCAAAUGUUUUGGUUUGUAAUGGUUAAAGGUUUGAUUUUAUGUGUAGCCAUGUAACUUGACUUAUAUUGGCUAAUUGGUUGUAAGCCUAUAUAUAUAUUAAUUAUAUGCCAAUGUCUUGUGAUGUGAGUUGCGUUUGCAUGAUACAUGAUGAGUUGUGGGUAUGGCCUAAAUUCCUAAUGGUUGUAUGUGCUGCAAGUCUUGAUGUCCAAUGGCUAAGUUUUACUCAAUGGUAUGGUAUGUUAAUUAGAUAUAAUUAUGCUAGUAUAAGAGUUGUUGAUGAUGUAUAUGUAUAAAUAGUUUUAAAUUGAAUGAAAUUUUAUGGCCCGGUUUUGUAUGGUUGCUUAUGUUUAAGACAGGUAAUGCCUCGUAUCCUGUCCCGACGUCGGACACAGGUAAGGGAUGUUACAGUAAUUGUCUUGAUAUAAAAUUAAAUCUAUUUUAAUCAAAAAUAGCAUCUCUUGAUUCAAUAACAGUAUUAAUUGAAACUGAAUCAUUUGGUUCAAUUACCAUGAACCUAUAUGCCUUGCUAUUAUGUGCAUAACCUAUAAAUAUGCAUUCAAUUCCUCUUUCACCUAACUUUUUACAUUUAGGUGUUGGAACUUUGACAAUAGCUCUAUAACUGCAAACCGUCAAAUAAUUAAUGUUUGGUUUCCUUUUCUUCCAUUGUUCAUAGGGGGUUAUUUUAGUUUCCUUAUUAGGAACUCUAUUCAAUAUAUGACAAGCUGUUAGAACAGCUUCUCCCCAAAAACAUUAUCCAAGACUUGAAUAUGAUAACAUUGAAUUUACCAUUCUAGUUAAGACUUUAUUUUUCCUCUCAAGUACGCCAUUUUGUUGUGGGGUGUAAAGGGAUGAAACUUGAUGGACAAUUCUAGUGGAUUCAAAAUAACUUGGAUUAUAGUAUUCUCCACCUCUAUCUGAUCUUAAGCACUUGAUAAAUGAUUCACACUGAAGUUCAACUUCAGAUUUAUAACUUUAAAUUUAUCAAACGCUUCAUCUUUUGAAUGCAAUAAAUAUGCAUAACAAUAUCUAGAACAAUCAUCAAUAAAAGUAACAAAAUAUUUCUUUCCACCUAACGUAGGAGUAUUAUGCAUGUCACAUAAAUCAUUAUUUAUCGAAUCAAGCAAUUUUGUUUUCCUUUUAACCUUAGGGAAAGGGUUUCUUGUAAUUUUAGUCAACAUACAUGUAUUACAUUUUUCAAUAUUAUUAUUAAAAAUAUGAAUUAAAUUUAACUUAUACAUGUCAUUCAAUUUUCUAUAAUUCAAAUGACCUAAUCUAUAAUGCCACAAAUAAAAAGAUUCAACCAUUUAAGUAGAAAUAGUAUUUUUAUUCUUGAGUUUGAACAUACUCAUACAUAUACCCUUUCCCCAUAAAAAUUCCUCCCUUAGACAAAAUAAACUUAUCUGCCUCAAAAACAAGUUUGAAACCAAACUUAUUCAACAAACUUUCAGACACUAAAUUCUUCCUAACUUCUGGUACAUAAUAUACAUCAUUUAAGGUUCAAACUUUUCCAGAAGUGAAUUGUAGUUCAAGAAACCCUUUGUCUUUGAUUGCUGCGGUGUAAGAAUUUCCCAUGUACAAGACAUUGUCAUUUUCACAUUGUGUGAACUUUGUGAACAUGCUUUUGUCUUUCACACAUGUUUGGUUACUCCGGUAUCAAUCCACUAUGUAUUAUCAUCUUGUGCCAUAUUAAUUUCAAAUAUCAUUGCAACGAACUUUUCGUUAUUAUCAGCAUUAGAAGAUGAUUUCUUCCUUAAAAAUCGACAUGCAUUCUUGAAAUGUCCUAGCUUUCUACAAUGAUAGCAUGAGCCUUUUUGUUCCUUUUUGAACUUAGGUGCUCUAUCAGUCUGUUUGAACUUUCUCUUCAAUGGUUUAGUAGUUUGAACUUCCUCCGUAACAUGCACUUUGGCAUUUUCAAAAUUUAGGUUAUGAUCUUGUUUUUGAUAUUCUUCUUCAAUACGAAGAUGAUUUGCCAAAGCCUCAAGAGAUAUUUCCUCUUUCUUAUGUUUUAGACUUCUUUUAAAGUCUUUCCAAGAUGGAGGAAGUUUGUGUAUUAUGGAGGAUACAACAAUCAUUUCAUCCAUUUUCAUAUCAUAUUGUUUGAACUGAUUUAGCAUCUUUUCAAUAUCAUGGAAUUGUUCCAUAACAGAACGACCAUCAACCAUUUAAUAAUUAUUGAAACGACUGACAAGAAAUUUCUUACUUGUAACAUCUUCGGUCAUGUAUCUUGUCUCCAAUUUUUCCCAUAAUUCUUUAGCGAUGACCUCGUUUUGGCAGGUGUCGAACAAACCAUCAAAUAAACCAUUCAAUAUGUGGCCCAUGCACAUGUAAUCAGCAUUGUCCCAUUUUUGUUUUUCUAUAAUUGUAGCAACAGAUUAGUUAUCAUUCUCUUUAGGUUUAGGAGUAUCCAAAACAUAAGCAAUCUUCAAAGUUGAUAAUAAGAAGUGCAUCUUUUUUUGCCAUCAUCGAAAAUUGCCACCAUCAAACCGAUCAAGUUUGACAAAGUUGGAAGCCAACUCCCUUAGUAUUCCACUUUCAUGUGUUAUGGUAGUCAUCAUGAAUUAUAGAACCUUAAAAUUGUUAGUACAAAACUCUGGUGAAGAAAAUCUUGAACACACGAACAAAACUCGAACAAAAAAAAGAAAUAGGACAAGGCUCCAAGGCGUGUAUCAAGUCACUAUCUUUAAGGUUAUAUUCACCCCCACCUAUAUUCGGUGUGCAAAUGAGUUCCAAGAAAAUUAACCUCAAGGAUACAAUGAAGCUAAUGACUAUUUACAUUUUGGACUGACGAGAACAGCCCACUACACACUGAGCAAUGUAUGACAAGAAACUCAAUUUCUAUAAAGGAUUUCUAUUGAACUGCACAAUUAACAUACACCAAUAUGACAUCACCACAAGAAGAGCACACUUUACUAAUGAUAGAAAACCAUAGCCCAAAGCAGAAAACAAGAAGUGAGAGAGCAAGUUAUAUCUUAAAACAAACACUACUACGAAACCCUUCUCAACAUGGAAAACACCACAUCAGAAACUAUGACAAAUAGCGGCUCCACCCAUAAUCCAAAACCAAGCAACUAACUAUAGUGAUCACCCUUGCUAAAAAAACCUUUACAUAAAUCAACGAGCAAGCAUUGGACUUCACCCCAAGUAAGAAAAUGAUCCAUCAAACCUUGAAAAAGCUUUAGACACCAUCACUUAUCAGUAGAUAAGAAACCUAAAAUAGAGCCAACACCAGCAACACCUUAUCAAGACCAACAGCUAGAAAAAAUCUCAAUGGAACCGAUAUCAAAGGAAACUCAAUGUCAUAUCGGCUUCCAUAAAACUUUCAAACCACCCCACUAUAGCUCUUAAGACUGACGAUAACCGUACUUUAAAAUCACCAAAGCAUCCACUUCGAGAGACACCUUCAAUCAUAACACAAUGAAUAGACUCAAAUUCAAUUCUAUAAUCACAACAUACCAAAAAAGACAGAAGCCAUUUUCAAUAAAAUAACAGCCUCAACCGAUCAGUAGGCCAUAAAAGGCACAAAACACCAUAAUGCAUCAUCCAACCUCAGCAACAUACAAAUUGUUUAUCAUGGUGUUAUAAUCAAUCUUGGGUUCAAACCCACUAUAAGUAUAUUUUUAUUGGUUUCUGUUAAAAUAAAAAGACUAAAAUACUCAAUUAACUUGUGACACCAACUUAGUUAGGAGCUUAAAUAAUAAUAAGUAUAGAUACAAUUGAUGAAUAUAAUAAAAUAUGCAUAUUAAAAUAAAAAUAUAUAAACGAUAUUAAAAUAAAGUUUUAAUGGUGAUAUACUUGAAGUUUUAUUAUUGUGAUUGUCUUAGGUUCAAAUCCCCUCAUAUUCAUUUUUAAUUAUUUUUUUUAAAAUAAAAAGAUUAAACUACCCUCGAACAAUAUAACUUAUUCUAAUUAUGAAAAAAUAUUUUCGUAAUUUCUCUAACUGAAUUGGCGACACCAAUUCAGUUAGGGACUUAAAUAAUAGUAUAGAUAAUAUAAUUUUUGGCCCUCAACUUGGGAAUUAGAUGCACUUUAAUAUUGUAUUAUUUUUUUCCAAUUUUAUAACUAAACUUGGCAAGUAAAUUCAAGUGGUCAUUGAACUUGGAUUCUAUCAACAUUUGAUGAUGUGACUGGUGUUAUUGAAACAAAAUCAGAUCAUUCGGUCAAAUUGACUGAACUGAAAAGCGAUUGGUAUAACGGUCCAAACAAAGGGGUUGAACUGAUUGAAUCGGAAAUUGGUCAAAAUUGACAAUUUAAAAAAUUAUUUUAACUUUAUUUUUAGAUUUUUAGGAAUUUUUAAUUAAUUAUUUAAUUAUUAUUGGUCUAGCAGUCGAACCGAUUGAAUAAGAAAUCAAUAGUUUUAUCUUUUAACCACCGGUCCGAUUAUUAAAACACUAGAUGCGAUACUGUGAGAUUGUAGCACAUCAUCACCUAAAAUUUUAUAUAAUUUUUUAAUUUUCAAGUGAUAUAUGUGAUCAUGUCACAUAAUCAAACUUUUAAAUUUUGUAUGUUCAGGGAUUAAAAUAGACCUAAUUGUUAAAUUCAAAUGAUAAAGUGGGCUAAAAAAAUCCUGGUAGCCAAUAAUAGAAAAAAUAUACUAUUUAAAAAAUAAUAAUUAAAGCGGACCCACUUGGUGAUAUUGCUCUUUUUCCAUAGUUCCCGACAAUAUUGUAUCCGUCUAUAUGUCUUAAAUAUGCUGCAACCAGCAAAAUUUGUUUUCUAAUAUUUGGCAAUUUUUACUUGCAAGACAACGAUGAAAAACACUUAAAUAAUCAGUACAGUCCUCCUCAAUAAUUGUAAGUCGUAAUAGACCUGAUAUUUUGGCUUAUAAUAAUGUCUCACAUUUACUUUCAUAUCUAAUCUUGAUGUUUUUAACAAUAGCGUAGAGUAGUGGACAUGCUCUUAAAUUAAUAAUAGUAAAAUUAUAUUUUAUCCUUAAAAAAAAUAAAAUUUAAUUUAAUUCAAUUCUUUAAAAAUUAUAAAGAUGUAUACUAUUAAAAAUUAUAUUUUGUUUAUUUACGUUAUCACGUGUUACCUGUGUAGAAAAUGAAGAUUUUGACAAUAAAAAAGAAUAGUGUGGUGAGAAUGGAGGGUUAGAAAGGAAUAAUGCUUCAUUAUUUUAUUCAUUCCCAAAAAGAGGGAUAUAUGAUAUAAGUAAAUGCAAGGAAUGAACGCGUAUAAAAUUUAGACAUGUUACUUAUCCACCUGAAUGGCAUCAUAGACUGGUGUUUUGGCUUUUAUAAUAUUAAUCUCUCACAUAUACGACCAACCUACCCUGAACAUAUGACGAACCCAUUUGCGUCAUUGCAAACGCAAUUUUGGUCCUUAUGCUAUAAUAAAGGAGGAAAUGGUUCUGGUUUAGAGAAGAAAAAUGAAUGCGCUGAUGAUGCUUCUAAUUCUUGCUCCAUGUUGCUUCUUCUUCAUAGCUUUAAUAAAGUUACUUUAUGAUUACCUAUGGAUACCCCUCCGUAUUCAGCAUAUGCUGAAUUCACAAGGGAUCAAAGGACCUCCUUACAGAUUCAUCCAUGGCAACAACAAGGAAGUUACCAAAAUGAAACAAAAAGCUUUAAGUAAAUCUGUGGGCUUGACAGAUGAUUUAUUUCCCAAAGUACAGCCACAUAUUUACACCUGGACCAACAGAUAUGGUAAGAUCCAUGCUUGUUUUUUUCAAUAUGAUUUAUAACUUGUAGUUCUAAGAAAAGGUAGACCCUUUUUCUUUUCAUGUUAUUAGGGAAGAAUUUUGUUUAUUGGAACGGUGCUCGAGCUGAAUUGGUGAUUUCAGAGCCUGAAUUAGUCAAAGAGGUUCUGAAAAAUAGUGAACAAAUUUUUCAGAAAAAGAAACUUUCAGAUAUUGGUAGGAAGUUCUUGGGGAAUGGGCUUAUAUUCAUUGAGGGGGAAAAAUGGGCAAAGCAUCGAAAGCUGGCCAAUCACACUUUCCAUGGGGAAAGCCUAAAGGUAAGUCUUCCAAAUAUAUAAACUAGGUGUAAUUAAUUUACAAGAAUUAUACAUAGACUACAAUAUUUUGGUAAAAUUUUGUAUUGUUAGCUAAGGAUAAAUUUAUUAUGGACGUUGAAUUUUAGACUUAAUGUUGUAAAAUAAAAGAUUGAGUAAGAGAUUUAAAAAAAUAUAUAAUUUCAUUAAAAAGCACUCUUUUAACUUAUUGACUUGGAUUAAAAUCUAGUUUGAAAAGGUGUUUAUUUGUCAAAUUGUUUAAUUUGAAAUCAUGAUUUUGUGUUGAAAAGUGUUUUUCUGACUCCAAUUAUAUAUGUCACUACUACUUACAUAUAGGAGGAUUGUUUGGGCAGAACAUGACUCCAGCAAUAAUUGCUAGUGUUGAAACAAUGCUAGAAAAGUGGAAAGGCCAAUAAGGCAAAGAGAUUGAACUGUACCAAGAAUUUAGGUUAUUAACUUCAGAAGUGAUUUCCAGAACAACAUUUGGUAGCAAUUACAUGGAAGGGGAGAAGAUAUUUGCCAUCUUGAGCAAGUUGGCAGUAAUUAUGAGUCGAAAUGUUUCCACGACUAGAAUUCCUUUGAUCAGGUAUCUUCCCUCUAAGCUUAAUUAAUCCCAACUUUUACCUUGAUUUCAACUAGCUUUUGAAUGCAACUUUUAGACUUUCAUUCCCCAUGGAUUUGGUUUUCUCCUUAUAUAUAGCUGACCCUGGUUUGCUUUUGCAGCAAGUUGUGGAAAUCUGCUGAUUUGCUAGAGUCUGAAAAACUUUCAAAAGAAAUAAAAGAUCGUCUGAUGAAGAUUGUUAAGAAAAGAGAAGACAAAGUUGUGAAUGGAGAAGUCAAUAGCUUCCGCAGUGAUUUUUUUGGAUUACUUCUAAAUACCUAUCAUGAUUCGGAUGCGAAAAACAGGAUUUCAUUGGAAGACGUGGUAGCUGAAUGCAAAACAUUCUUUUUUGCUGGACAAGAAACUGUUAAUUCCUUACUUGCAUGGAUAGUCUUGCGCAUUUGGCAAUCCAUGGAGAUUGGCAAGAAAAAGCGAGAAGAGAGGUGGUUGACAUAUUUGGUAACCAAAAUCCACAUCUCGAAGGCAUCGCCAAACUCAAAAUAGUAAGAAAACUAUCUAACUGGGAAUUCAAAUAGCCAUCGACAUGAUGUAAUCUGACAUAUUUUUCUAUUUUCCAAACAGAUGACCAUGAUCAUCAAUGAAGCUCUAAGAUUGUAUGGUCCAACAGGUGUCCUCCAAAGAACAGUUACAAGAGAAAUUCAGUUGGGAAAGCUACUCUUGCCUGCUAAUAUAGAUAUUCUGCCUUUAAAUAUUGGACUUCAUCGUGACCCUCACUUUUGGGGAAAUGAUGUGCAUCAUUUUAAACCUAAGAGAUUCGCUGAAGGGAUUGCCAAAGCUACCAAUUACACCGCGGCUGCCUUUUUCCCCUUCGGAUUAGGACCUCGAUCUUGUGUUAGUAUGACAUUUGCAAUGAUAGAAACCAAGAUUGCUCUCUCCAUGAUUCUACAACGCUACACCAUUAUCCUUUCCCCUGCUUAUGUCCACUCUUCAAUACUUAUUCUCAACUUUCAACCCCAAAAUGGAAUUCAAGUAAUACUUGAGCCGAAUACAUAGUAAUGCUUGAAGUACAUAGCCGUUAAGAACUAGAGGUUUAACAUGGUUCAUGUAUUUUACUUUUAAGAGAUGAUAUUUAAUAUGUUUAAAGGUUCUAGCAUUCAUCAUUAAAGACAAACGACUUGUGGCCAUGUUUACUUUUUAUCUAUCAUGCAAUGUCGAUAAGAAGAUAUCAUUUACCUUUUAGUUGGGUUAUGAAUUCUACUAUUGUGAAUGAUGUUACAUACUAUACAAGUUCUAUACCCAAUGCACCAACUUUCGGUUCUUUAUCUAUUUGAACUUAGCCUUUUACUUGCAUCAAAGUAUACGAGUCAUGCUUGUAUAGUCCACCAUCCACUCAAGAUUAAGGUAUAUCACACAAUGAACAUCACAAGUAAAUAGAUCCAUAAAUGGAUCUAGAAUCUAUUCUACUUGGGUCUUUUCUGAUGUAUUGUCAGUCCAGUCAAUCACAUCUAUGUCUUUAUCUUUUAGGAGUUAUCUGUUCCAUUUAAGACAAAGCAUCUCCACAAUUGGGUUUGAUAGACGACAUCUUAGUUUUUCAAUCGAUUUGCUCAAUUUUGAUUAGACUAAGGACAUAUUUAGGUUUAUAUACUAAUACAAGCUAUCUUUCCAUAUCAAGAUCUGACCACGUAAUACCGCUUAGUAUUAAUUUAAACAAUAGAUAACCAAUGAGCCAAUAUUUGCUUCCAUUUUGCUUUGUGUGCAAAAACAUUGAGGACAAUAUGCAAAGGGUAUUAAUGUAAUUAAUAGAUAUUAUUAAACCAAUUUGUUUGAAAAAUACAAUUAUAUAAAACGAAUAUAGUACACUUAGUGUACCAAAUCCAACAAUGGCCACUACAGCUAGCAUUGCCAUAAGCAACAUAACUUGACAUUUUUGGAGUUGAAAUCUUUUUAACAAAAUCAGUUGGGCAACGACUUAGAUGAUUUUGUGGACAUGUGUUGGCUCAUAUUUGAAGAUCCAUUUUGUGGAGCAAUCAAUCUGUUAAGAUUAAAUCAAUCUGAAUCAAGCAAAUCGGAUCACUUAUUUUGUGGAGAUUGGCUUGACUUAUUUUAAAAUUUAUUUUCGAAAUCUUUGAUUUAUUCUUAACUUUCAGGAUAUUUGUAAAAUUUGAUAACACUCUAGAAUAACGUAUUUUUAUGUAUUAAUUAUGUAUUUAUUUUGAAUAUGAUCCUGCUAAUUUGAGCUAUUUAUGAUAUUUUAUCUCAUAGGGACUAAAUUUGAGACAAAAGCAAAAUUAAGGGCCAAAAGUGUGAAUUUAGAGAUAAAAUGGGCCAAUGUGCGACACAAAUAAAAGUUGGUGCCAAAAGUGCAAGCAUGGAGGACACAAGGGUUGAAAUGCAAAAAAAAGAGAUUUUAUUCUAUCAAACUCUAUUUUAAUUAUAUUAGGAUAAUUAAUAUUAAGAUAAUUAUUAAGGAUUAUCUAAUUUUAGGAUUUUAUUUUAUUUAUCUUCAAUUAAAUGUAUUUAUCUUUUGGAGUUUAAGUAGGAUUAGACUAUCUCCCCUAGCACUAUAAAUAGGGGUAAAGUAACUCAAAAAUGAUGUAAACACUCUCUCCCCCAAAAGUCUAGGCUUUUGUUCUCCUCAUAUUUCCUUUCAAUAAAAUCUCUAUUUUUAUUUUAUUUAUUUUCUUUUUCACCACAACCAUGAGCCACUAAACUCAUCUAGCUGAAAGUUGUCGAUAUUUUCCAAAAAGGGUUCUCGAGGCCUAGAGUCCGUACUUAGCCUCCUCGCUGAGUAUUCAUUGUUUCUCUGCACUACGGGGCUGACGCUUCCGUCCAUGUCCCUUAAGAAGUAAGAUUUUCAAUGUAUGCAAAGGCGACUGCUUUGUAUGUUUUAGGAAGAUUGCAUAGUCAAUUCGUUAACUUACUGCGUUAGAGGUUAGUGAGCCCAAGAGACAAAAUGGCAUGGGAUUCACCAUUGAGAAUCGCUGAUCUAGCAUAAGACGAUCCCAUAGAAGCAAUUGUUGGCUAGAGUCAGGUUUCACUAAAUCGUAAGUCUAAAUCCUUAGAGCUGGUGGUCGUAGGCGUCCUCUUCCACUAUAACUGGCUUAUUCGGUUUAGGAAGGAUCAUCUAAAAGUUGAGGAUUGAACCCAAGGCGGAACGAGAAAGCUGGAGGUUAGAAUCUCCCAUAAGAAUUUUCUUUCUCUUAACUUUAUUUUUAAUUUCUCGAAUUUUUGAUUCAAUAUUCUUAAUUUUGUUUUUAUUUUAUUUUUCGUUUCCAGACCCAAACCUUUAAUUCUAUUUUUUUUAUUUUUUUUCCAGGAACGCAGGUUUUCUCGGGAAAGAUUCUGCCUGGGAUUUCACAAAAUAAGAUAUUGUGCAAAUCCAGUCCCUAAGGAUUUUACCUUACUUUCCUUUUACUAUUCUUUUUCAUUAUUUAUUAGGGAUAGGAUAUUUUUUGUGCUUUCAACAACCGCAUUAGUAAAGUUUUUUUUACGAGGCUAUUUUUUGUGGGAUAUUGAUUCGAAUUGAUCUUUAUCUUUGCAAACAUUAAAUUCUUAUAUAUUAGAGGCUUGUGUAAGUUAAAAUAAGAUAGAGUUUCUAUUGCACUUAUUUUUUUCAUUGAGGAACUUGUAAUUGAUAGUGCAUUAAGAGUGUAAAAUAAGUUUGUUGCUUGGUUUUACAGCCAAAAUUCUCAAGGGAAGAACUUAGUGGUGAAUGAUUUAGAUAUUUAGAUACAAAAGUGAGGUUGCUAUACCGAGUUGUGAUAGGACUUAAAUAACUUGUUGUCUUGGGAUUAAAAAUAAUGGAUUUACUCAUUAAGUUAGGUUCCAUAGACAUAGAAAAAUCGAUAUGCAUAAACAAUCAUUUGUGUUCUAUUUUUUGUUGUUGUGUUCAUCAUAGUGGCAUCAAAGGUUGCCAUUACAACCAUCACUUUGUCAUCAAUUACUCACUUUAUUUUUUUAAGCAAUUAUCAACUACAUGCGCCAAGAGAAUGCUUGUUUCCAGUACUAUUGAUCAAAAUUUUGUAGGAAGCAUAAUGACAAAAAAGGAAAUGAUUACAAUCAACCCCUUAUGUAACAAUUCCAUUUGUAUGUUUGCAUGUUAUAAAAUGGUGGUUGUUAUAUACUACAACAUGUUGUUAUAAAAAGAUAAUUAUUGUAAACCUAAAAUAGAAUUUACAUUGCGAAUUACUAUCAUAUAAAGAAGGUGGGAAUUAUAUUAAAAAAGGAAAGUAGAAACCAAUUCAACAAAAUUAAAAGAUGUAUAAUAGGUGCAUGCAUUAUUACCUUUAUAUUUUAUUUUACAUUUUUCACAUGAUUAAUCGAUAUGAGUUUAAAUUAAAUUAAUUAAUUUAUCAUGUGUCAUUAAAUUCAAGUAAUUAAUUUAUAAGAUUAUGAUGUUCCAAAUUUAUAGUAGAAUAUUUAAUUAGAGAACUUAAUAGUUUAUUGAAUUGAUAUCUUUAAUUCCACUCAUUGAAGAUUUUGUCAUGUGAAAUUUAAACAUUUUAUUAAAAUAAUAUUUUAUGAUUGUUUAUGAUAAACUUAGGAUUUUUAAUAGUGUUUAUAUAUGUAUUAUGUUAAGAUACAUAAUGAUAAAACUAGAGUUUGUGGUAUGUUUUGAGAUGAUAGGCUUCACGAUUAUGUGAUUUAUUGUCCUUAGCUAAUUCAAAUAUAGAUUAAUGAGGUUGGUUUAAUAUAUGUUGUAGGGAACAACGAAAAUGGGAAAAAAUUAAAUAUUACCCUAAAACAAAUUGAUAAUUAAUAUAGUUAAAUUAAAUCCAUUUUGUUUUGGCAAAUGAAAAUCAUUGGUUUAAAAGGUUUGAGAAUUGAGGAACCUUUGCAAAACAUAAUGCGAUAUCAUCACUGUUUAUAGGAGCUGAGUAUAAAUAUUCUCUUUUCAUGUCUUUGUUGUUGGGUUUUUAGGUCUUUUUGUGACAAUUAUCAUUCCUCUCAUUUCAAUAUUUAUGAUAAUAAUACCUGUAAAGCACGUUGGUCAUGUCUUAUUUUUACUAUUUAUGUAAACAUGAUUCCCGUAUAAACUAUACUAAAAUUCGUAUUAUUGUAGUACUUAUUAUUAAAGUUUCAGUCCUGUGACAAUUGGUAUUGGACUGAGAUUUGAAGCUACCAGUUGAGAUGACAAAAGGAGUAGAAGAGCAGAUUGAACCCAGAGAGACCAUGGGAGGGGCAGGAGCUAUUUAUAUAUUUUUGAGAUGUUGAUAUCUUCCAGAGCCAUUUAUGACCACACACGAUAAUGGGUAAGAUAGGGUCCUACCUGACUUAUGGUUUAUCUGUUUUGAAGGGGGAAAUGGUUUUGUUUUAGAGAAGAAAAAUGAAUGCGUUGAUGAAACUUCUAAUUCUUGCUCCAUGUUUCUUCUUCAUAGCUUUAAUAAAGUUACUUUACGAUUACCUAUGGAUACCUCUCCGUAUUCAGCAUAUGCUGAAUUCACAGGGGAUCAAAGGACCUCCUUACAGAUUCAUCCAUGGCAACAACAAGGAAGUUACCAAAAUGAAACAAAAAGCUUUAAGCAAAUCUGUGGGCUUGACAGAUGAUCUAUUUCCCAGAGUACAUCCACAUUUUUACACCUGGACCAACAGAUAUGGUAAGAU